rnacentral:lncRNA from 10 species
GUUCUGGUGGAGGCUGCGAGUGCCUGGGCCUGUGACUCCCGGCUCUCCGCGCGCAGCGUCAGUCUGGGAGGGAAGCUCACAUGGCGGUCCCUAGGAUGCCCUGGACAUCAUUCCGAACAGCACAAUUCAAGGGGAGGCUUUUCCAAAUUAUGCAGCUGGUAAGAGGCAGAAGAGAAGCAAAGGAUGACCAUGAUCUCAGGCUCUUGGGUAACCCCCUCCCACACCAACUCUGAGUUUGUUUAUGGCUUGUUUUGGACAAUAAGACAUUAGCAAAUGAGAUAUAAGUACAGGCUUGAGAAGUACAUGGGCACUGGGGCUUGCUUGCUGGCUGCUCUGUGGAACCUGAGACUACCACGUGAAGAAGAAGUUCGAAGUGCUAGAGGUUGAGAGAACAUGUGCAGCAAAGAUGAAGCAUCCCAGCUGAGAUUCCCCUAGAUCAAUCAGCUUGCCAACUGCCGCAAAAGCGAAUAAAGCCUUCCAAGAGCAUCCAGCUAUAAGGUGAGCCAGUCCAGACCGGAAGAAUCACCUGAUCAACUGAAAGAUAUAUGUGAAAUAAUAAAUGUUAGAGGUUUUAAAUUUUAAGAGGUACAGAGGCAUAUGGUUGAUGGUUCUGUUGUAUAAUCAUUAUUUAGUCUGGAAAGAAUCACUUGGAGUCGUCUGCUUUUAACUUUUGUCAUAAACACAACAUAUGAGAUAACAUAUUUCAAAACAUUAAAAAAUUUUUGUUUUGUUUUGUUUGGGUUUUGAAAUGGAGUCUCGCUCUGUCACCCAGGCUGGAGUGCAAUGGCGGGAUCUCAGCUCACUGCAACCUCCACCUGCCAGGUUCAAGCGAUUCUCCUUCCUCAGCCUUCUGAGUAGCUGGGAUUAUAGGUGUCCACCACCAUGCCUGGCUAAUUUUUGUAUUUUUUGUAGAGCCGGGGUUUCACCAUGUUGGCCAGGCUGGUUUUGAACUCCUGACCUCAGGUGAUCCUCCUGCCUCGGCCUCCCAAAGUGUU